GCGGGGCCAGGCCGAGUGGAGGACGGGAGGACGCCCAGAUCGGGCGGGCAGGGAGGGUGAAGGAGGCUGCGCUGCCUUGGCGGCCUUCAUGGGCGGCGUGGCGGGGGCCCGGGGGGCAGCCUGCGACAUCUGUGCGAGAAGGGGAGAGAGAACGCGGUGGGGGCGGAGGGGGGGGGUCGUUACAAUCAGGACGCCCAUCUGGCCCGGCUUUGCUCCGGUGCCAGAAGCCAAGAGGCAGAAGUCAAGGUUAAACGCUGCGGCGGGGCUGCGGCCCCCUUCGCCCGGCCCGACUCCCUGCAGGAGCCCCGCGCCGGCUUCGCCGCCCCACCUUGCCCUUUGUCUUUGCUGGAGCAGAUGUGCGGUGACCCCUGCUAGCAUCGGUGCUGUCAGGAUUAAAGAAGCCUCCACCCCGUUUAGCAACUGCAACUCUCGUCCCCCGACCCUCGCCAACCCACCUCUUGGGGGGUGGGGGUGGUUGUUUGUUUGUUUUUGUUUUUUGAAUUUUGGCAGUAAGUCAAAAGCAGCCAUCAUAAAGGUGCAGAAAGCCCUCGGCUCACAUUUAAAUUUGUGUGCCAAGUUGGCUGCUUGUUAGACCCUUUUAGCGGCGGAACCAUCACCACAGACACAAUGAAUUGUGAGAUUAAAGUUUAAAAAAAAAAAGAAAGAAAGAAAGAAAGAAAACCCUUAUCCUGCAGAUGUCUGCUGAAGGCUGUUCCACCGAGGAGUGUGAAAGGUCUUUGUGUGCAUGUAUGAGUGUGUCUGUAAAGCCAACAGCCGCACAUUUGUUCUCUGGUCAUUAGUCCUUAAUAUCCCUUUUUAAAAAAAAAAAAUAAUGAUGAUGAUGAUGAAAGUUAUCACACUCAAACCUAAGCAACCUCUUUGACAAGCUCUAGUUGCAGAAAUGAAUGGAAGAAAUGGAAGAGUUGGGAUUUCUCAUGAGGCGGAGAAAGGAGAACUCCAGAUCAAGUCGAACUGUGUGUGACUCAGGGGCCCGGAGAAAAGGAUUUACAGGGCCACCUUGCACAGCGCAGCUAGGCUGUGACUUGAAGAGGACUCCAAGGAGACUGUAACUGUGGCCAGUGUGGGACAGGACUCCUGCCCAGGCCUCAGCUUGGCUCAGAAGUCAAAUUAAGGUCACAGGUAAUAGGUCAAAGUUCUUUGCACUAUUUUCUAAUAUCCAAACUAAUUCUACCUAGAGCACAAUAAUUUCUGUUUUUAAAGUGUAUUUGGUAUCCGAUGGUGGCCUGAACAGACAGCAGUUGGUAAGCUAAUACCUGCCUGACUACAUAGAGGAUGUUCGGCUCAGUCCUUCCAACAGCCUUCACAGGUCACAUAGGAGCACUGGCGCCAGAGGGCUGAGAAGGUGCACCAGUUUCUUGGCAUUUUCUUCCACUUUUUUUAAAUGUUUUUGUUUGUUUGUUUUUCCAGUCCCAGAGGUGAACCCAGGGUGGGAGCUGGGGUUCUGCCCCUUAGCCACA
rnacentral:lncRNA from 1 species